rnacentral:rRNA from 1 species
AUUGAACGCUGGCGGCAGGCCUAACACAUGCAAGUCGGACGGUAGCACAGAGGAGCUUGCUCCUUGGGUGACGAGUGGCGGACGGGUGAGUAAUGUCUGGGGAUCUGCCCGACAGAGGGGGAUAACCACUGGAAACGGUGGCUAAUACCGCAUAACGUCGCAAGACCAAAGAGGGGGACCUUCGGGCCUCUCACUAUCGGAUGAACCCAGAUGGGAUUAGCUAGUAGGCGGGGUAAUGGCCCACCUAGGCGACGAUCCCUAGCUGGUCUGAGAGGAUGACCAGCCACAGUGGAACUGAGACACGGUCCAGACUCCUACGGGAGGCAGCAGUGGGGAAUAUUGCACAAUGGGCGCAAGCCUGAUGCAGCCAUGCCGCGUGUAUGAAGAAGGCCUUCGGGUUGUAAAGUACUUUCAGCGGGGAGGAAGGCGGUGCGGUUAAUAACCGCGCCGAUUGACGUUACCCGCAGAAGAAGCACCGGCUAACUCCGUGCCAGCCGCCGCCGUAA